UUCUCGGAAAUCCAGUAGCCAAAGAAGCAUUCCAGGGCUUUCUCGGUGUGCGGUUGCCUGGAAUCACAGAAUAUACAGUGGUACCUCGGGUUACAGAUGCUUCAGGUUACAGACGCUUCAGGUUACAGACUCUGCUAACCCAGAAAUAGUACCUCGGGUUAAGAACUUUGCUUCAGGGUGAGAACAGAAAACGUGCGGCGGCAGUGGGAGGCCCCAUUAGCUAAAGUGGUAAAAGGUAAAGGUAAAGGGACCCCUGACCAUUAGGUCCAGUCGUGACCGACUCUGGGGUUGUGGCGUUCAUCUCGCUUUACUGGCCGAGGGAGCAGGCAUACAGCUUCCAGGUCAUGUGGCCAGCAUGACUAAGCCUCUUCUGGCGAACCAGAGCAGCGCACGGAAACGCCGUUUACCUUCCCACCAGAGUGGUACCUAUUUAUCUACUUGCACUUUGACGUGCUUUCGAACUGCUAGGUUGGCAGGAGCAGGGACUGAGCAACGGGAGCUGAGGCACCCCCCAAAAAACUGUGUGCAGGUCGAUGGUCCCUUCAGCUCCCCCCACGCUACACCACUGGUUCUGUGGACCAAAACCUGCAGUAUUGAAACUCAGAGUUUCCAUAUUGUGGCCGCCUUCUUUAGCUUCCCAGGCCAAGCCUCUAGCAGCAACAUUGCCUGGUAUCGGCCAAGGUCGGUGUGUUUAGUUCAGGUAGGAGUGGCCAGGUGCAAAACAGAACAGGGCUCCUGUCCCUUAUGAUAGCUGUGUAGAAGAGUGAAUCAUCUGCCAAAUUACACCAGCUGAAAUUCCCUCUUCCACACACCUGUUGAAGGUACAGGUGCCCUGACCUCUUACAGCUGGACAUCCUGCCAGUAGGGUGCAAGCUAAAUAAGAGAGCUUUCCUUUCAUAAGGAUAAUUCUCAGAUCCUCUCUGUAAAAGUCCCCACAGUUCCACCAGAUCAAACAGUGAUUUCUCCCCCUCUUACCCCUGUAAACCUCGUGGGAACAGCGUUGAGAGCACUAGAAGCACAUAUUUUCUUUAUCCUCCACUCUAUUGCAGCAUAAACACUAUCCUUUUUGCCAGCUGCUGCUAAUAGAUGUUUCUAUCUAGAGCUGAAAAUGAGGACUUCUGGUGAUUAUAAGCACUUGCGUGUCAGGCUAAAAAAAAAAAAAAGCAAAGACAUCUGUUGGGGAAAUUAGUAGGUAUUUGAUAAUACCACUGUCCAAUACCACUGUAUUAAAACCAUUUCUAGCAAAACACACUAGCACUUCUCUUCCUUGCAAGUAUUUGUGCUACGAUUCCUCAGUGGUGCAUUUGUUGGUCUGCAUGUGUGUUUUUAAAUAUCUGCUCCCAUAUGCAGCUUUCCAGGGAGGAGAAAUGAUAAAAUAACUCGAAUGUCAUUCUGUUUUUCCUCUCUCAACUUUUUUUAAAAAUGCACUUUUAGUCUGAGGUAGCACACAACCCCCAUCACAGUUGGACAUUGUAUGUGGUACAUAAAGCUCCCUUGCCAAGCUAAACAUACCCACAAAAUGGGUCAUCUGCCUAACCUGCUAAGAGAGAGAAAGUGAAAAUCCCUUUUAAUCUUCUCUGUAGGCAGAAAUGUAAGGAAGUAGACCUUAGCAAGUUUCACAACGUGAACUGAUGAUAUGCUGCAGCACUGUUCAGAAAGACACUUCUUUUUUAAAAAAGAGAAAGCUCUUUUAAAUAUAUCCCAAAAGCAUGGCUGGAUUCUUGGAUAUCAGCCAUGCGACCGACCUCCCCUGCCCCAGUUCCCUCCAGUCAGCUGAACAUCCUGCAAGGUGUAUGGAACUUGCCAGCUGAUUGAAAACAUCUUAGGAUCUCUAAGCCAUUCAUGCUGCGUUUCAGUGGCUUCUGAAAUGAUCCUACCUCCUCUUUGGCUCCUGGUCUCAAUGUUUCAGUGGCAAAACAAAAGCAUUUUGAUGUUAGCUUUUUUGGUGUCUUACAUUUGGAAGUUGUGGGGAAAUGUAUGUCUGAUGAGUUGAUGGGGGAGGUUUGAAUUUUAGAUCUGGGCUUUUAUUAGAGGUUUGUAAAUGGUGUGCAUGUGUGCAUGUCUGUUUGGGGCUUUAAAGAACUCCAAAAAUCCCCCCCCCCUUUUAAAUUGAGUACUUCCUCUCUGUAUUCAUCAUGGGUUAAGUUCAUGGUGAGACAUUCAAUUUGCAGGUGCAGUCUUCUGACGCAUCUUCUUCUUAGCAUGCUGUCAAGAAGUGAAUUGUUAUCCCAGUCGCCUAGAAUAAUGAAAUAAAAUUCACAGAGAGAAAAUUAAUUUUGUUUUAAUUAAACUCAUUAAUUUUUUGA